rnacentral:rRNA from 1 species
UACAGAGGGUGCAAGCGUUAAUCGGAAUUACUGGGCGUAAAGCGCGCGUAGGUGGUUUGUUAAGUUGGAUGUGAAAUCCCCGGGCUCAACCUGGGAACUGCAUCCAAAACUGGCAAGCUAGAGUAUGGUAGUGGGUGGUGGAAUUUCCUGUGUAGCGGUGAAAUGCGUAGAUAUAGGAAGGAACACCAGUGGCGAAGGCGACCACCUGGACUGAUACUGACACUGAGGUGCGAAAGCGUGGGGAGCAAACAGG